rnacentral:tRNA from 1 species
GCCACCCUAGCUUAGUUGGUAGAGCAAUCGAUUCGUAAUCGAUAGGUCGUGGGUUCGACUCCCAUGGGUGGCUCCA